CUCAUCAUUAUUGUGCCACCCAUCUUUGGUUUCAACAGAGUCAUAAGAAGUGGAAAACUUCAAGAGUACUGCCCCCCCUCCCUCGCGUCGCCCCUCUCGGGCGGCUCGAGGGCGACAACCCUAGAUCUCGCCGCCUCCCCCCUUCCUCCCCUCCCUCCUCGCCGCCACCAGAGGCAUCCGCUGGGCAAGCCCGGGGCGUCGCCAAGGAAGGUGGCGGCGGGGCCUCUGCUGCUCCGUUUCUCCAGCGGGGGGCGUCGGAAUCCGGGGCGGCGGCCUCGUUCGGUGAGGCGCCACCGUCUCCUCGGCUGGUGGUGGCGCGGGUGUGGUCCGGUGGGCUUGGCUGCGCGGGCAGCAAGCUCCCCGGCGGACGAGAUCCGCGGCGCCGGCGGUGGGGCUUCUGGCCUCUUCGGCUCCGGAUCUGGCCGCCCCUUCCCCCUUCUGCUGCCCUGCGUGCUCCACCCCUUCAGAUCUGGUCCGGGUCGACUUGGUUCUCCGGUGCCUGGAGCUGGAUGUGGUGUUGGUGGUGUGGAGCCUUGACCGGGAGAAAUCCAUGGCGGCGACGUCCAUGGACGCCGCUCCCCUUCUUGGAGGCGCCAUUCAGGUCUUUUGCUCCACCCCCCCUUCCCCUAGCCUCCCGGGUGAAAGCUCGAACUUUGUUGGGCGGCGACGGUGCUCUUGGCUCCGUUUGCUUCUUGAAGUCGUCGCCUUGGAUGCUUUUUGGAUUGUGGGCACUACGGUGUGGUGGUUGUCGGGCGGCGGCGACUGUGUGCCCCAAGUGGCGGCGGCGGCAGCUUGGCAGGUCCGGCAGUGUUCGGGUUUCUUCUGGUGCUCUCUGUGCAACUGGUGUCAGCUUGGUCCGGCGGCCUCUGGCCAGGAGGGGAUCGGGUUCCCCUCCUCCGGCGGCUACAGUAGUGCAAGUUGUGAGUGCCGGAGCGUCAUUCCUCGGCCUUGGCCCUGCCUCCUCGUUGCUCCGUCCUCCCUGGACACCCUGUUGCUGUCUGACCGGCAUCUUUCUCCUCUCCAAAGGAUCGUCAGUGGGCAGCGGUGAUGCGGUGUUUCUGGUGAAGUUUCUUAGUCAUGUAGGGUGUGCUCUGUUCCUACUCCUUCUGGUUGCAUCCUUCCAUCCAUGUUCUAGGGUGAGCAACCCAUAUGUCGACGGCUCGGCGCCUUUCGAGCCAGGCGAGGAGGCAGGGGCCUCUUUCGACAGUGGGAGUGGAUGGUGAUGUUGUUCCAGGGCUUUGGUGUUCGGUGCCGUCAUAGCCUAUCCUCGACAGCGGGCGCUUCCCGGAACCCCAUUUCCCCUUCCCUGGUGAGCCUUGGGUGGACGAGGGCCUCUGCGUGCUUCAGCUCAUGCUUAUCAUGUGCUAUCUCCUAGCUGUAGUGUGUGAGGUUUUGAGAGUUGCCUUCCAGCACCCUUGUAUCUUGCCGUGUUUUUUUUGUUGUUGUUCGAGUUUGUAGCGCAGUGGUUGUAAUCCUGGCCGGUUGAUGGCUUUGUUAAUUCAAAGCCGGGCUCUCCUUGAGCCUUCGUUCUAAAAAAAAGUGGAAAACUUCAUGCAUUUGAGUCUGUAUAACUGAACUUAACAAGGGUACAUAACUUGAAUAUGACACUAAAUCAACUUAACAAGGAAAAAUCGUGCUUAUAUUGAUAAAGAAUAUGGCAAAUCAUUUUGUAGCUUAAGUCAAACAGAUUCAUUGAUGUGGCGUACAUCCUGUAAUAAUAAGCUACAUAAUGGACGAACAAUCUGACCUGAUGUGACGAUUUGAACUAUCUGUGACUACAGUGAGCACCCCCUCAUGAGCCUGCUAGACAAUAUCAAAUAUCAUCGUUAUUGAUGUACAACUAACCAGCACAGAUUGUAUGAUCGAAGUUAGCUGUAGCCCCUCACUCCCCCAAUCUCCAAUCCUAUUGGUCCACAAUUAAUUACUCACUGUAAAAUUCAUAUCGAAUUGUUUAACGGCAAUUAACAAUCUGCAAUUGGACCCCAAUUCAGACGCAGUCACUUGAAUAGCUCAGUUCAACCGAAUUUAAGUAAAAUCGCUCUGAAAUCAGUAAUUUUCGUCAACCAGUGAGGUUUCAGUUUUGAUAUCAGCUCUGAAUUCAGUGAUUGCCCCAAUUUUGAUACUACUGACCUUGACACGGCGACUAUCUGCAGUAGAAUUGUCGAGGAGGGCGAUGAGCGGGAUGAGGCGGAUGAACAUGUCGAUCUCGUGCUGUGCGGCGCGGAGCUCGUCGGCCAUCCGGGCUCCC
rnacentral:lncRNA from 1 species